GAAAUGCGAUAAGUAAUGUGAAUUGCAGAAUUCCGUGAAUCAUCGAAUCUUUGAACGCACAUUGCGCCCUCUGGUAUUCCGGGGGGCAUGCCUGUUCGAGCGUCAUUGCAACCCCUCAAGCUCAGCUUGUGUGUUGGGCCAUCGUCCCCCUGUGGACGGGCUUGAAAUGCAGUGGCAGCACCGAGUUUUGGUGUCUGAGUGUAUGGGCAUUGAUCAUCACUCAAUAGACCCGAUCGGCGCUUGUCAUAAACACGAUUAUCAUCCAGUUUUGACCUCGGAUCAGGUAGGAAUACCCGCUGAACUUAA
rnacentral:misc_RNA from 1 species